AAAAACCAACAAUGGGGCCGAAUGAUCUUAUAGCAGUAAUAAGCAAAUUAAGACCUAGAAGCACAUACAUGAAAAUAGCCCCAACAAACCCUAUUCCACGAAGGCCAUCAAAACAAACUGGGAUUAGAUACCCCACUAUGUAUGGCUACCAACAUUGAUGACAACACACAUAUGUCAUCCGCCAGGGAAUUACGAGCAACAGCUUAAAACCCAAAGGACUUGGCGGUGCUUCAAACCCCCUAGAGGAGCCUGUCCUAUAAACGAUAAUACCCGUUAAACCUCACCACCCCUUGUUAAUACAGCUUGUAUACUUCCGUCGUCAGCUUACCCUGUGAAGGUAAAAAAGUCAGCAUAAACAGUAUAACCCAAAACGUCAGGUCGAAGUGCAGCUUAUGAGGUGGGAAGAGAUGGGCUACAUUCUUUACACCAAAGUAGACGAAUGGAUAAUUGAAACAUUUAACCUGAAGGAGGAUUUAGCAGUAAGUAAGGAAUAGAGUGCCCUACUGAACUCCGGCUCUGGAGCGCGCACAUACCGCCCGUCACUCUCUCCGAAAAUAUUACCGUAUAUACCUAAUAU
rnacentral:rRNA from 1 species